GAUGAAGAACGUAGCGAAAUGCGAUACUUGGUGUGAAUUGCAGAAUCCCGUGAACCAUCGAGUCUUUGAACGCAAGUUGCGCCCGAAGCCUCGGCUAAGGGCACGUCUGCCUGGGCGUCACGCAUCGCGUCUCCCCCAAACCGCCAAGGCGGAGGGGAAGGAAGAUGGCUUCCCGUGCCUCACCCGGGCGCGGUUGGCCUGAAUUUGGAGCCCGCGGCACUUAGCUCUCGCGGCGAUAGGUGGUGAACAAGGCCUUGGCCGUGCAAACAACCCGCUGCGAAGCUCUAUGUCACGUGCGCUCGUCGGACCCUUUGAAGUUGCCUUUGGUGACUUAAAACCUUUGCGACCCCAGGUCAGGCGGGGCUACCCGCUGAAUUUAAGCAUAUCAAUAAGCGGAGGA
rnacentral:misc_RNA from 1 species